UUGAGCCUUGAUGUGUAGGAUAGGUGGGAGGCUUUGAAGUGUGGACGCCAGUCUGCAUGGAGCCGACCUUGAAAUACCACCCUUUAAUGUUUGAUGUUCUAACGUGGACCCGUGAUCCGGGUUGCGGACAGUGUCUGGUGGGUAGUUUGACUGGGGCGGUCUCCUCCUAAAGAGUAACGGAGGAGCACGAAGGUUGGCUAAUCCUGGUCGGACAUCAGGAGGUUAGUGCAAUGGCAUAAGCCAGCUUGACUGCGAGCGUGACGGCGCGAGCAGGUGCGAAAGCAGGUCA
rnacentral:rRNA from 1 species